rnacentral:piRNA from 1 species
UNGUUUAUGGAGGCCUCUUUGUAAAGGAA